AUUUCUAACUACUUCUAAAAUCUAAAAUUAACCUCUAAUUCUAUUCUAAUCACAACCUAAAAUAAUAGGGAAAAUAAUUAAUUAGAUGAUUAAGAAAUAAUGAAGGUGCAGGCCCAGACUUAGCGGUACAGUGGACAGAGGGAGCUCAAACGGAACAUACCCGAUGAUUCCGACACGGUGGCUCCAUGUGUCUUUCAAUCCUCUUCUUUGUUUGUUCUCCGUUGUUGUUGUUGUUCAUUCGUUGAUUAGUUGUGUUGUAGGCGUGUUGCGAAUCGUAGUUGUUGUUCGUUGCGUAUUACUGCUGAAUUGAGGCGAGAGUGGUGAAUCAUGGAUUGAAGUGAAGAGAGAAUAGUGAAGACGAUUGAAUUCUACUUGUAAUUGUGAAAAGGAAAUUAUGUUAUGUUAGUUAGUCUAGAGCUGGAAAUUGGAUCUGAGGUUAACUUGGUUGGACUGUUAUGUGAAGUUUGCAAGUUCAGUUUGUUUUGCUGCCAUGGCAUUGUUGUUGUUUGGAAAUGCGGUUAUGAUAACAUGAUGCUUGCACUAGUUUUGUACUGUUGUUUGUAAUUGUUUGAUGAUUGGGAAUGUGGUUAUGAUAUGUAUGAUCAUGCACUAAUUUUGUACUA